rnacentral:misc_RNA from 1 species
AACCAUAGAAACCUGCGGAGUACCUGCGGAGGGAUCAUUAUAGUAUAUGGAAUCUCCAUUCUAUAAACCCACUCUGCGUAUCUUGUAACUGUUGCUUCCAUGGGACUUGGUUCCGCCACACCGGCUUCACAGCUGGUGAGCGCCCAUGGAAGGAGAAACAAAACUCUUCUUUGAAAUGUAGUCAGUCUGAACAAGUUUUUAUAAACGUUAAAACUUUUAACAAUGGAUCUCAGAUCGGAA